rnacentral:tRNA from 1 species
GGAAUUAAGCACGGCUUUAAAAUAUUUGACUCAUAAUCAGUUUGUCCCUGGUUCGAGCCCAGGUGGGACCACCA